rnacentral:rRNA from 1 species
UACGUAGGGUGCAAGCGUUAAUCGGAAUUACUGGGCGUAAAGCGUGCGCAGGCGGUGAUGUAAGACAGAUGUGAAAUCCCCGGGCUCAACCUGGGAACUGCAUUUGUGACUGCAUCGCUGGAGUACGGCAGAGGGGGAUGGAAUUCCGCGUGUAGCAGUGAAAUGCGUAGAUAUGCGGAGGAACACCGAUGGCGAAGGCAAUCCCCUGGGCCUGUACUGACGCUCAUGCACAAAAGCGUGGGGAGCAAACAGG